rnacentral:rRNA from 1 species
UACGUAGGGUGCGAGCGUUGUCCGGAUUUAUUGGGCGUAAAGAGCUCGUAGGCGGCUUGUCGCGUCGAAUGUGAAAUCUCAGGGCUCAACUCUGACAUUGCAUUCGAUACGGGCAGGCUAGAGUUCGGUAGGGGAGACUGGAAUUCCUGGUGUAGCGGUGAAAUGCGCAGAUAUCAGGAGGAACACCGGUGGCGAAGGCGGGUCUCUGGGCCGAUACUGACGCUGAGGAGCGAAAGCGUGGGGAGCGAACAGG